rnacentral:rRNA from 1 species
AUGAUACAAGACCGAGGGCCAAUAGAAGAGAAGGGGGGACUCGAUUAUGAAGAAUUAAAGAAAUGGAGGGCCAAAACUAAAGAAGAAAGGGAUCUACUUGAGGCUAAAGAAGAGAAGAAGGAGGGCAAAAGUGCAAAAAUGCAGAUCUGGGAGAGGAUCAAAAUCCUUAGCCGCAUCUCCAUUGCGACUAGGCCUGACAUCUCCAUCUCCCUCACCCUCCUUCUCUACCUCCGGCCGCCGCCACGCCCAGGCCGGCGUGGUGGUGCGCCUCCCACCUCAUCACCCAUCUCCAUCCACCACUCCACCAUCACCUCCAUCCAUCAGCGCCGUGCCACCCAGCACCUCCACCACGCACCACUAGCACCACUCCACUCCGCCGCCGCAGCCAUCCAUCCAUCGCGCACCACCAGCUCCGCUAGAGCCACUCCAUCCACCUCCCUCUGCCCUCUAGUCUCCUCUGUUCCUCCUCUCCAUGCCCCCGCUGCUGCUGCUCUCUUCUCCACAGAACUGCUGCUGCUCCCUUCUUCCCCCAAACUCUACUGA